GUGGGGAAUCUUCCGCAAUGGACGAAAGUCUGACGGAGCAACGCCGCGUGAGUGAUGAAGGUCUUCGGAUUGUAAAGCUCUGUUAAUCGGGACGAAAGAGCCUAGUGUGAAUAAUGCUAGGAAGUGACGGUACCGGAAUAGAAAGCCACGGCUAACUACGUGCCAGCAGCCGCGGGAAUACGUAGGUGGCAAGCGUUGUCCGGAAUUAUUGGGCGUAAAGCGCGCGCAGGCGGAUCUGCCAGUCUGUCUUAAAAGUUCGGGGCUUAACCCCGUGAUGGGAUGGAAACUACAGAUCUAGAGUAUCGGAGAGGAAAGUGGAAUUCCUAGUGUAGCGGUGAAAUUCGUAGAUAUUCGGAAGAACACCAGUGGCGAAGGCGACACACUGGCUCAUUACUGACGCUGAGGCGCGAAAGCGUGGGGAGCAAACAGGAUUAGAAACCCCGGUAGUCC
rnacentral:rRNA from 1 species